CUCGCUCCUAGUUGGUUUUUGCUUGUUUUGACAUUUGGUGUCCAAGCUUACUUAGUGAUAAAGCCACCUGUUUUGGAUCAGUGGAGAAGGACAGGACAAUCCUCCCCCCGACCACUUUGAUACACUAAGAAUGGAUGGGUGUAAAAUCAUCGCUUCUGAAGUGGUCGAUCAUUCUGAAAAUUCAUCUUUGAAAUCCUAAUAAGGUUUCUGGUGUUACAGCUUCUGUUCUUUGCUUUCUUUACUGAUUCAAGGUACUUUCCAACUUCCUUUCUUCCUAUUUGUGAUAAAUCUUGAUUAAAUAGGAAGUUUACUUGGUGAGUUUAUAUUUUGUUUCAUGGUAUCAGAGCAAACUUAGAUAUGGAGAGCGAAAAUUCAAAUUAAACUACUGCAAAUCGAAACCCUAACCCAUUUAAUAGAACAAACUUAGAUUUUAUGAAUUCUGAUAGACCGUACUACAUAGAAAAGAAUCUGAACUCUAGCACUAUUCUUGUUCCUCAACCCUUAGAAGGAAAUAAUUACUACACAUGGGCUCGCUCUAUGAAACGAGCAUUAAGGAUUCAAAACAAGCUCGGGUUUAUAAAUAGAACCUUUACCGAGCCAAUGGAUCCCACUUAUCCGCUCAAAGAACAGUGGUUACGGUGCAAUGACAUUGUAAUCACUUGGAUACAGAACAUCUUAUCCCUAGAGAUCAAGGCUAACACAUUUUAUGUUGACACUGCUCAUUAGCUAUGGCUUGAUCUUGAACAGAGGCAUGCUCAACAGAAUGCGUCUAGGAUAUUUGAAAUCAAGCAAUCAGUAGUCAAUCUCUUAUAGAGUCAAGACCCAGUUACCGUUUAUUUGCUAAGUUAAAAAUUUAAUUGAUGAAUUGGUGAACUAUAAACUAAUGCCCAACUGCACUUGUGGGGAAAUGAAGACUGGUGGAAUAUCAGGAUAAAGACUAUAUAAUGAAAUUCCUCAUGGGUUUAGAUGAUUCGUAUAAAGGAAUGAUAGGACAGAUCCUCAUGAAGAGACUCUUUCUUGGCAUGAAUGAGGUCUUUUCUAUUAUUCAUCAA